rnacentral:rRNA from 1 species
GACGAGCGCUGGCGGCGCGCCUAACACAUGCAAGUCGAACGAGCGAGAGAGAGCUUGCUUUCUUGAGCGAGUGGCGAACGGGUGAGUAACGCGUGAGGAACCUGCCUCAAAGAGGGGGACAACAGUUGGAAACGACUGCUAAUACCGCAUAAGCCCACGGCUCGGCAUCGAGCAGAGGGAAAAGGAGCAAUCCGCUUUGAGAUGGCCUCGCGUCCGAUUAGCUAGUUGGUGAGGUAACGGCCCACCAAGGCGACAAUCGGUAGCCGGACUGAGAGGUUGAACGGCCACAUUGGGACUGAGACACGGCCCAG